CGAUGCACUCCACUCAUUGCGUUGGGAACGGCUGUAAAAAAGGAGGAAACCAAUUUCCCUCGGCUUAGGGUGCGGCACUGUGGAGACGUGUCGCAAUGCGUGUCCGACAUUCGCGCGGAACGCGAGGCGGUUCGGUGGAGAAGUCCGGGGCCGCCAAGGUCAAGGCAGUAUGGCA
rnacentral:ncRNA from 1 species